GUGUGACAAUUUAUACGGAAGAAUCAGAUGGCUUUCUGGGUUGUGGAAAUUUCUGCCACCUCCUGCUACCAUAUUGGAACUGGCAGGAUUUCUGGAAUUAUCAGGUUCCACCCGGUGCUUAGAGGGUUAAGCUUGGAUUCCUGGAUUUUAUGACUUUUAAGAAAUGUACCUGGAUCCCUCAACACUGCUCUUGGAUCACUGGAAGGGUCCCAGAUCUCAGUCUCUGG